rnacentral:rRNA from 2 species
ACAGAGGGUGCGAGCGUUAAUCGGAUUUACUGGGCGUAAAGCGUGCGUAGGCGGCUUUUUAAGUCGGAUGUGAAAUCCCUGAGCUUAACUUAGGAAUUGCAUUCGAUACUGGGAAGCUAGAGUAUGGGAGAGGAUGGUAGAAUUCCAGGUGUAGCGGUGAAAUGCGUAGAGAUCUGGAGGAAUACCGAUGGCGAAGGCAGCCAUCUGGCCUAAUACUGACGCUGAGGUACGAAAGCAUGGGGAGCAAACAG